rnacentral:rRNA from 1 species
AUGGGGCUCUGGGACUCGCUCCUCAACUGGCUCCGAAGCCUGUUCUUUAAGCAGGAGAUGGAGCUCUCCCUGGUUGGCCUACAGAAUGCUGGGAAGACAUCUCUAGUCAAUUCAAUUGCUACCGGUGGCUACAGCGAGGACAUGAUUCCAACUGUAGGCUUUAAUAUGCGGAAAGUCACCAAGGGAAAUGUCACAAUUAAACUUUGGGAUCUUGGAGGGCAACGUAGAUUCCGGACUAUGUGGGAGCGCUACUGUCGUGGAGUUACUGCUAUUUUAUACGUUGUCGAUGCUGCUGACCGGGAUAGCGUUCCGAUUGCCAAAAGUGAAUUGCAUGACCUGCUGACAAAACAGUCUUUAUCUGGGAUCCCCUUACUUAUCCUUGGCAACAAAAUUGACAAGUCAGAGGCACUUUCUAAGCCGGCAUUAGUUGAUCAACUAGGCCUGGAAUCUAUAAAGGACCGCGAAGUUUGCUGCUACAUGAUCUCUUGCAAGGACUCGGUGAACAUAGAUGUUGUCAUUGAUUGGCUCAUCAAGCAUUCCAAGACUGCAAAUUAG